CCCGCUGAACUUAAGCAUAUCAUUAAGCGGAGGAAAAGAAACUAACAAGGAUGCCCCUAGUAACGGCGAGUGAAGCGGGCGAAGCUCAAACUGAAAAUCGGGGUCCCAUGCGGGAUUUCGAAUUGUAGUCUAAUGACGUACCUUCAGUUGUGACCUGGGUAUAAAUCUUUUGAAACAAGGUAUCAUAGAGGGUGAGAAUCCCGUCUUUGACUCAGAGUUCACAGCGUACGAAGUGCGCUCGUAGAGUCGAGUUGCUUGGGAUUGCAGCUCUAAAUGGGUGGUAAAUUUCAUCUAAAGCUAAAUAUCGACGAGAAACCGAUAGCAAACAAGUACCGUGAGGGAAAGAUGAAAAGAACUUUGAAAAGAGAGUUAAAAAGUACUUGAAAUUGUUAAGAGGGAAGCGCUGGAAACCAGUCGUGCUGGGCAGCAUAUCCGCUCGCUUGCAGGUUCAAUGCGAUGCGUCCAGUGCGCAAGCCUGGAUUGUGUUGCGGCGAGUUUGUGGGUGGGAAGCGUGCUGCUUGGUGAGUCAAAAUCAGUUCGCUUCGUGGGAGAAAGUUAUGAGGAAGGUAGGCCUGCGGGGUAACACCCAAGGGCUGUUAUAGCCUUGUAAUGCUACCAUGUUGCGGACUGAGGAUCAUAAUACGCACCACUAGGUAUCGACCCCCGACCCUGGCGUUUGAUCGGUGUCUGAGAGCAAAGCUCUGAGCACUGAGAAAGAUGCUACUGGAAAAACCGGGUACGUCAGAUGCAGUAUUCGAGAUUUUGACGAAAUGGUUUUCAUCGACCCGUCUUGAAACACGG
rnacentral:rRNA from 1 species